rnacentral:rRNA from 1 species
GACGUAGGGUGCGAGCGUUGUCCGGAUUUAUUGGGCGUAAAGAGCUCGUAGGCGGCUCGUCGCGUCGACCGUGAAAUCCCUCGGCUUAACCGGGGAACUGCGUCUGAUACUGGAUGGCUUGAGUUUGGGAGAGGGACGCGGAAUUCCAGGUGUAGCGGUGAAAUGCGUAGAUAUCUGGAGGAACACCGGUGGCGAAGGCGG